AAAAACCCUCAGUUCCUCUGAGGACAUGCAGUGCCUGUGAGUGAAAUAAAGAUAGAAGCGGAGACCAAGCAAAUGGUCAGGAAGGUCCGUGGUCAGGAAGAUCAGCCAUACCAGCCACAUUCAAUUGGCUGCGAUCGAUCUAGCUCAGAGACUGAGCCCAGCCACCGUAAUCGUCCUUUCGGCUUGGAUGGGGAGGAUUGGUUGCCUCAGAGAGAUCAGAAGGAUGCACAUCAAGGACGCUGUACACCGAGGUCUGCAGCCGGUCAGCCUGCUGGGACUGCAGGCAGGCAUCACUGUGUGAGCCGCGUUCAAGUCCGCAACUCCAGGGCACUCAGCACACCCACAGCCCUGUGGCCAUCUGCUCUGGGAGCCCCCAGACCGUCUUUCCUGCUCCGGGAGAAGGUGUCUGCACCAAGCCACCAGCCACCACCGGCCCGCUCUCUGCCAAUGGAUUUUCCCUGUCCCAGAAUUUCACAAAGGUGCAAUCAAAUGGCCUGUGAAGUUGGAUUUCUCCCACUUGGGUCACUUAGGGUUGAAGGAGAAACAGCAGAUACCCAUGAGAAUGGCCACGCCAUCACCCCCUGGUCUCUGCAGCCUUGGGGGUUCCCAGUGUUUCACGAAGACCCUGCCCUGGAUUCAGUGUUGGGUGAAUUCUUGGGGAAAAAAACCUCAGAAAGUUCUGAUUGAGUCCAGCCUAUCCAAAGUCUGAGUCAGAGAGACCUCAGCCUCUGGAAGUCUUGGCUUCUGGGCAGUUCAGCCCUGUCAUCGCUCUCUCUCUCUCUCUCUCUCUCUCUCUCUCUCUCUCUUUCUUUCUCGCUCUUACUUUCUCUCUCUCUCUCUCUCUCUCUCUCUCUCUCUCUCUCUCUCUCUCUCGGCUUUUAAUUUUAAGUUUUUCCAGAUGGAUCAGGCUAGUUCAGGCUGGCCUUGAAGUGGGGGCGAUCCUCCUGCCUCGGCCACCGGAGUGCUGGGGUUACAAGUGUGCACCACCACGCCUGGCUCAACCCUGUCAUUCCCUAGGGAAGGCCCAGGAUUAUGUCUGUCGAUUACUGUAAGACACAUACAACCGAGCCGAGUGUGAUAGUGCAUACCUUCUUUAAUUCCAGGGCUCGGGAGGCUGAAGUGGGAGAAUCCUUGCAAAUCUGAGACCAGCUUUGGCUAGAAAGUGAGUUCAAGGCCAGCCUGAACUGCAUAGUGAGACCUUGUCUCAAAAAGAAAAACAAAGAUACAACCCUCCUUCCACAUAUUUUUUAAAGUUCCACUUAGGUGUAGAAGGUUCCAGGGCUUAAUGACAGACACGAGGUUCCCAAUUUCAAGCUCACUGGAGGAAAAUAGGAUUACAUGAGGCUUAAAUUAAAAUACGAAUCCCAAGCACUGUGGUGGAUUGAAGCGCAGGAGCCCUGGGAAAUCCCAGGCAAGGAGGGAGGUGGGGGUUGGAGGGGAGUUGUUCCCCAUCUCCCCUUCCCCAGGGCCUCCCCUCCCCUAGAGCCUCCUGACCCCCAGAGUUGCAGUGGGUGCUUUGCCAGCAGAAAAUAAAACUUGGAGGAGGCAGAGGUUUCCAGAACACUGAGCAGCUCCUGACCUCAGAGCCUGAGCUAGUUUGUUAUCAAAGCAGGACCUGUUCCCGCGGGCCUCUCCUGCUGUUCCAGGUCCACCUGGGCCUCAGACCACACAGUGCAAAGGUCCAGAUGGCACGGAAGGGCCUGUGGCCCCUGCUCCCGACUCCACACCACUUGACCCUCGCUGGUACCAUGGGCACAGCUUCCUCUGGCCUCGCAGGUGCUGGGGGCCCUGGCCUCAGAGAAGGCAGGUUCUGCUGAUCCUGCUCUGUCUCCAGCCCCCCAUGGUCCUGGUCCUGCCGCCAGGCCUCUUGAGGCACAGCUGUCGCCACCGGCUCUCUAUCUACGCUCAGAAUCAGUUCCCAGCUGGGUGCCUGCAGAGGGUACCUUGGAGUUCUCCAGUGCACUGGGCUGUGUAACAUUAAGUAAAAAUGCCUCUGGGCACAGCCUCUCCUCUCCUCCUAGGGCACUCUCAGGAGUUGCUAUUUGAUUAUCAUUCCCCGCCCCCCCAGCACUGGAGGGUGAAUCCAGAGCCUCUGCACCAAGCUGCUCCUCAACUCAUUUCCUACUUUUGGUUUGGAAACAGGAACUUCCUAAGUUGCCCAGGCUGGGUUUAAACUCAAAUUCGGGGAUUACAAGUGGGCACCAUGCCGUGGGCCCCCAUGUUAUGUCUGACAUACUCAGAAACUGGACUUUGCUAAAUCUAUGAGCCUGUUUUACCAACGUUCCUUUAUUCUCAGCCAAAAUCUGCUUUUGUGUAAGUUCUACCUGGUUGUCUCACUUAAGACUCAGAGCUGCACAGAGGGUCUAAACACCCAGAAGCCUCUCUGAUGCCCUGUGACCACUGUCAGGAUGCACCAGCCCUCCGGGGACCAGGCGCCUACCCUACUUCCGCGUGAGUGCGGUUCCCACACUGGCUGCUCUGGAGAAUCCUUAGGGCAUCACCACGGGUCACUGACAUCUAGGACAGAGCACCUGGAGAAAUAAUGAUGGGGCCGAGGGUGAUGGCACACCCAUCAUCCCAGAACUUUGGGAGGCUGAGGCAGGAGGAUCCCAAAUCCAAAUCCAGCCUAAUUAGGAAGAUCCUGUCCAGGAAAAAGAAGAUGUAGCUCCAUGUGGAGCUCUGGGUUCAACUCCAAGUGUUGAAAACAAUGAAAACGAAUAAGCAACCUGUAGCAGAAGGGACGGGCUGAGCUAGAGGAGCACUUCCAGGCUGUCACUACCCUCAGCGCAGGGCCAGGAGACUGUAAGACCACACCUGUCGUGACCUGGCGGGAGGACAGCAGAGCCGGGCAGGUGACCCAUGGUACUGACCAUUUAGAAACGGAGACAGGAGUGCUGAGCUGCGUUCCUCAUACCCUUGCAGUUGCCGAGACUCAAGGCUGGGGUAACAGUGGGUGUUAAAUUAAAAAAAAUUACAACCAAAGCCACGUGGCUGUGAGUCCCCCCAGCCCUCCCUCAAGGGUCUGUCCAGGUGCGAUGCAAGCCCCAGCGAGUGUCACUGCCCAGCACCGCCCAGUGGAAGGGCAGCUUGAAAACACACGAUGCUGUGUCCACGUCCACCUCACUCCCCAGAUCCACCACCGUGGACUCCAGCUCCUCCCCAAAGUCAUAGUGACCCAAGCAGGACGUCAAGGCAGCCACGUCAGCGUACUCAGGACCCUCAGGAAAGAGGAUGCCCGGGCUACAGGAAGGGGUGAAGGACUGAGGAUGAGUGUGCUCGGAGAGAGGGGACUCACAGAGGGG
rnacentral:lncRNA from 1 species